rnacentral:rRNA from 1 species
UUUCCUACGGGGGGCAGCAGUGAGGAAUAUUGGUCAAUGGGCUUACGCCUGAACCAGCCAAGUCGCGUGAGGGAAGACUGCCCUAUGGGUUGUAAACCUCUUUUGUCAGGGAGCAACGCCGGCUACGUGUAGCCGGACUGAGAGUACCUGAAGAAAAAGCAUCGGCUAACUCCGUGCCCGCAGCCGCGGUAAUGCGUAGGGGGCAAGCGUUAUCCGGAUUUACUGGGUGUAAAGGGAGCGUAGACGGCAGCGCAAGUCUGGAGUGAAAUGCCGGGGCCCAACCCCGGAACUGCUCUGGAAACUGG